rnacentral:rRNA from 1 species
AGGACGAACGCUGGCGGCGCGCCUAACACAUGCAGGUCGAGGGAGAACCGAGCUUCGGCUCGGGGAGACCGGCGAACGGGUGAGUAACACGUGAGGAACCUGCCCUGUAGACCGGAAUAACCACGGGAAACUGUGGCUAAUGCCGGAUGUUCUCCGCAGCCCGCAGUGGGUUGCAGAGGAAAUGGUCAGCCGCUACGAGGAUGGCCUCGCGGCCUAUCAGCUAGUUGGCCGGGUAACGGCCCACCGAGGGCGACGGACGGGUAGACUGGCGUGAGAGCGCGACCAGCCACACGUGGACUGAGACACGGCCCAGACCUCCGUACGGGAGCAGCAGGUGGGAAUCUUGCGCAAGUGGGACGAAGCCUGACGCAGCGACGGCCGCGGUGCGGGAAGUAACGGCCGUUUCGGUACGUAAACCGCCUUUACGAGU